rnacentral:Y_RNA from 10 species
GGCUGGUUCAUUGGUAAUGGGUUAUCAGAACUUUAGUGUCACUAAAGUUGGUAUACACCCUCUCAAUGCUAAAUUUGCCUGGCUUAAA